rnacentral:rRNA from 1 species
UACAGAGGAGCCAAGCGUUGUCCGGAUUGACUGGGCGUAAAGCGCACGCAGGCGGUUGCGCGCGUGGGUGUGAAAUCUGGCCGCUUAACGGCCAGGCGCCAUCCCAUACGGCGCGACUGGAGUGAUGCAGAGGUCGAUGGAAUUGCCGGUGUAGUGGUGAAAUGCGUAGAGAUCGGCAGGAACACCCAGGGGGAAACCAGUCGACUGGGCAUCUACUGACGCUGAGGUGCGAGAGCGUGGGGAGCGAACCGGAUUGAGAA